rnacentral:rRNA from 1 species
AUUGAACGCGGCGGCAUGCUUUACACAUGCAAGUCGGACGGCAGCACAGAGAAGCUUGCUUCUUGGGUGGCGAGUGGCGAACGGGUGAGUAAUAUAUCGGAACGUACCGAGUAAUGGGGGAUAACUAAUCGAAAGAUUAGCUAAUACCGCAUAUUCUCUGAGGAGGAAAGCAGGGGACCUUCGGGCCUUGCGUUAUUCGAGCGGCCGAUAUCUGAUUAGCUAGUUGGUGGGGUAAAGGCCUACCAAGGCGACGAUCAGUAGCGGGUCUGAGAGGAUGAUCCGCCACACUGGGACUGAGACACGGCCCAGACUCCUACGGGAGGCAGCAGUGGGGAAUUUUGGACAAUGGGCGCAAGCCUGAUCCAGCCAUGCCGCGUGUCUGAAGAAGGCCUUCGGGUUGUAAAGGACUUUUGUCAGGGAAGAAAAGGACAGGG